rnacentral:rRNA from 1 species
AACGAACGCUGGCGGCAUGCCUUACACAUGCAAGUCGAACGGCAGCGGGCCUUCGGGUGCCGGCGAGUGGCGAACGGGUGAGUAAUGCAUCGGAACGUGCCAUUGAGUGGGGGAUAACGUAGCGAAAGUUACGCUAAUACCGCAUAUUCUGUGAGCAGGAAAGCAGGGGACCGCAAGGCCUUGCGCUCUUUGAGCGGCCGAUGUCAGAUUAGCUAGUUGGUGAGGUAAAGGCUUACCAAGGCGACGAUCUGUAGCGGGUCUGAGAGGAUGAUCCGCCACACUGGAACUGAGACACGGUCCAGACUCCUACGGGAGGCAGCAGUGGGGAAUUUUGGACAAUGGGCGCAAGCCUGAUCCAGCCAUGCCGCGUGAGUGAAGAAGGCCUUCGGGUUGGUUAAA